CUGCAGUGGAGAUGGAGUUAUCCGUGUAGAUGGCGAGCUUGCUGGCUGUGAGGGGGACGGUCUCUCUCAUCUUGGAGGCCACAAACAUGCAGACUGUUCCCAAGAGCUGCAGGCUAGACUUCUCCAUCCAGAACCGUUUGAGUUUUAAACCUGAAACAUCCACACGGUGAGGAUCCUCCUCAUGAAGGGCUGGAUGUCCGUUUGCUCGGUGGCGCACCGGGGGUCCAGGCUCGCCUCCUCCUCCUCCAGGGCUCGAAGGUUCAUGAGGACUCGGAUGUCUCCGGUGAUGGUUGGAUCGGUUCCCGCUCGAAUUACCACCACAGACCGCUUCUUCGGAGCAUUUUCCGCCUCUAAACCCGAAACGAGACCCUCCAUCACCCGAGAAAAAACUGCGCAACAGCUAGCUUAGUGAGCUAGCAGCAUCAGCUAGUUCGGGUUCAAAAAUGGCGCUAAAGUACAAAAAAGAAAAAAAAAUGUGUUAACUCGUGGAUAUAAAAAAUCCUACAUCUUCAAAGUAAUCUUUGAUAGUAAAAAAAAAUGUAAAGAGAAAAUAAUUAAUCUUUAGUUUUAAAAUAAAAGGUAGCAUUUAUGAGUUUUUUUUUUGAUAGUUUUACCUUUAACAAAAAGUAGUAGCACCCUUGAAAUUUAUUUUAAGUACACUUGAGUAAAAGUAUUGGCACUAGGUGUGUAUCAAUUCAUUUUACCAACAAUUUGAUUCAUAUAAUAAAUUUGUUGUUGACUCUACAA